AUGAACCGAAACAAUCUUUUAAUCUCUUUACAAAAUAUGCUGGUAGCCCAUUUACAUCCCUGUGUAUAGGUCAACGUCUAUAGACAAAUAUAUUUACAUGUAAGUAUACAAGUUUGUACACAUUCUUUGGUAAUAAAAAAUGAUCAAAGUUUCAUGAACUCGGUAGAUACAAAAUCAAAAUAUACAACAAUAUGUCUGUCAAAUAUUAAAGCACAAAGAUUGAUUUAUUAUACCGGCUACAUUAUAGGAAACCGUUAGUCUUUUGUAAAGCAAGAGUAUUAAAAGCAAGUGUUUGUGUUUCUUAGCAGACUAAAAAAGUUGAUCUUAUAAACAUCUUUCAACUAUUGCACACGGUUUGUACUUUUCGAAAACUGCUAAAAACACAACACACUGUGGCGCAACAUAAAGAUGUUAACAUUGUGAAGGAGAAUGUAAGGCGAUGGGGUUCCCACAGAAGCGAUAUAUUGCAGCUCCUAAAUUUACCUGCAAUU